rnacentral:rRNA from 1 species
GACGAACACUGGCGGCGUGCAUAAUACAUGCAAGUCGAGCGAAGUUUUUCUGGUGCUUGCACUAGAAAAACUUAGCGGCGAACGGGUGAGUAACACGUAAAGAACCUGCCUUAUAGACUGGGACAACUAUUGGAAACGAUAGCUAAUACCGGAUAACAGCAUUAACUGCAUGGUUGAUGUUUGAAAGUUGGUUUUGCUAACACUAUGAGAUGGCUUUGCGGUGCAUUAGCUAGUUGGUGGGGUAAAGGCCUACCAAGGCGACGAUGCAUAGCCGACCUGAGAGGGUGAUCGGCCACACUGGGACUGAGACACGGCCCAGACUCCUACGGGAGGCAGCAGUAGGGAAUCUUCCGCAAUGGGCGAAAGCCUGACGGAGCAACGCCGCGUGAGUGAAGAAGGAUUUCGGUUCGUAAAGCUCUGUUGUUAGGGAAGAAUGAUUGUGUAGUAACUAUACACAGUAGAGACGGUACCUAACCAGAAAGCCACGGCUAACUACGUGCCAGCAGCCGCGGUAAUACGUAGGUGGCAAGCGUUGUCCGGAAUUAUUGGGCGUAAAGCGCGCGCAGGUGGUUUAGUAAGUCUGAUGUGAAAGCCCACGGCUCAACCGUGGAGGGUCAUUGGAAACUGUUAAACUUGAGUGCAGGAGAGAAAAGUGGAAUUCCUAGUGUAGCGGUGAAAUGCGUAGAGAUUAGGAGGAACACCAGUGGCGAAGGCGGCUUUUUGGCCUGUAACUGACACUGAGGCGCGAAAGCGUGGGGAGCAAACAGG